AGCAGCCGCGGUAAUUCCAGCUCCAAUAGCGUAUAUUAAAGUUGUUGCAGUUAAAAAGCUCGUAGUUGAAUUUCGAGACCGGCUUACUGGUCGUGCUUUUGUACGUACUGGUAUAAUCGGUUUCUCCUUUCUGACGAACUAUAAUGCCAUUAAUUUGGUGUUAUAGGGAAUCAGGACUGUUACUUUGAAAAAAUUAGAGUGUUUAAAGCAGGCUCACGCUUGAAUACAUUAGCAUGGAAUAACGGAAUAGGACGUUUGAUUCUAUUUUGUUGGUUUCUAGGAUCGACGUAAUGAUUAAUAGGGAUAGUUGGGGGCAUUAGUAUUCAAUUGUCAGAGGUGAAAUUCUUGGAUUUAUUGAAGACUAACUACUGCGAAAGCAUUUGCCAAGGAUGUUUUCAUUAAUCAAGAACGAAAGUUAGGGGAUCGAAGACGAUCAGAUACCGUCGUAGUCUUAACCAUAAACUAUGCCGACUAGGGAUCGGA
rnacentral:rRNA from 1 species